rnacentral:rRNA from 1 species
UACGAAGGGGCUAGCGUUGCUCGGAAUUACUGGGCGUAAAGGGAGCGUAGGCGGACAGUUAAGUCAGAGGUGAAAGCCCAGGGCUCAACCCUGGAAUUGCCUUUGAUACUGAUUGUCUUGAGUAUGGGAGAGGUAUGCGGAACUCCGAGUGUAGAGGUGAAAUUCGUAGAUAUUCGGAAGAACACCAGUGGCGAAGGCGGCAUACUGGCCCAUUACUGACGCUGAGGCUCGGAAAGCGUGGGGAGCAAACAGG